rnacentral:lncRNA from 1 species
AGAACCCAAGGACUAACGAAGCAAUGUUCCUUCUAGUGACUCAGGCUGAAACCUUUUUAGAACAGUUCGUUAGUCAAUCUCAACUCUUAACCAGGACUAGCAGCCUUCUGACAUCUCUGCUUGCAACCCAGCAGCACCAUUUCGAGCAAGCUAAUAAUUGCAAUGCAGAAGUCACAACUAUCAAAGCUGCCUCUGAUGAAGCUCU